AGCGAACGCUGGCGGCAGGCUUAACACAUGCAAGUCGAACGAACUCUUCGGAGUUAGUGGCGGACGUGUGAGUACCACGUGGGAACGUGCCCUUUGGUUCGGUAUAACUCAGGGAAACUUGUGCUAAUACCGAAUGUGCUCUUCGGGGGUAAGAUCUAUCGCCAUUAGAUCGGCCCGGGUCUGAUUAGCUAGUUGGUGAGGUAACGGCUCACCAAGGCGACGAUCAGUAGCUGGUCGGUGAGGAUGACCCGCCGCGCUGGCGCUGCGGCACGGCCCACACUCCGACGGAGCGCAGCAGUGGGGAGUCUUGCGCAAUGGACGCAGGCGUGGCGCAGCCGUGCCGCGUGAAUGAUGAAGCUCUUAGGAUUGUAAAAUUCUUUCUCCCGGGACGAUAGUGACGGUACCCGGAGAAGAAGCCCCGGCUAACUUCGUG
rnacentral:rRNA from 1 species